rnacentral:lncRNA from 1 species
AUUGCUCCAAGGUUUCUUUCUCACCAGCCAAAACAUCCUUCUCUAGUUGGAGGCUCUCAAAAUGUUCCUUCCAGUUAUCAGCUUAUGUGCUCAAUUCUACGACUUGCUGCUCAGUACAAGCCAGUCUCAUCAUCAGCUCUUUAUCUGUGAAGUUGAUCUGCAAAAAGGCAAGGAAAGGCGUUGUAAAAAUAAGAAAGGAGGAAGUAAAAGAGAUAAG